CUUGAACGCUGGCGGCAUGCUUUACACAUGCAAGUCGAACGGUAACAGGCCGCAAGGUGCUGACGAGUGGCGAACGGGUGAGUAAUGCAUCGGAACGUGCCCAGUCGCGGGGGAUAACGCAGCGAAAGCUGUGCUAAUACCGCAUACGAUCUGUGGAUGAAAGCGGGGGACCGUAAGGCCUCGCGCGAUUGGAGCGGCCGAUGGCAGAUUAGGUAGUUGGUGGGGUAAAGGCCUACCAAGCCGACGAUCUGUAGCUGGUCUGAGAGGACGACCAGCCACACUGGGACUGAGACACGGCCCAGACUCCUACGGGAGGCAGCAGUGGGGAAUUUUGGACAAUGGGCGCAAGCCUGAUCCAGCAAUGCCGCGUGCAGGAAGAAGGCCUUCGGGUUGUAAACUGCUUUUGUACGGAACGAAACGGUCUGGGUUAAUACCCUGGGCUAAUGACGGUACCGUAAGAAUAAGCACCGGCUAACUACGUGCCAGCAGCCGCGGUAAUAC
rnacentral:rRNA from 1 species